GAUCAUGGCUCAGGACGAACGCUGGCGGCGUGCUUAACACAUGCAAGUCGAACGAGAAUCUAUUGAAGGAGUUUUUCGGACAACGGAUAUAGAGGACAGUGGCGGACGGGUGAGUAACGCGUGAGGAACCUGCCUUUCAGAGGGGGACAACAGUUGGAAACGACUGCUAAUACCGCAUAACAUAUAGAUGUCGCAUGGCAUUUAUAUCAAAGAUUUAUCG
rnacentral:rRNA from 1 species